UUGCAUUUAUUUUUUCAUAUGACUUGCUAGUUGUCCUGCUUAAUUUCGUUUCACCUGUCCUGCUUAAUUUCGUUUCACCUGCAUACACUUCCACAUGAAAUUUGAAAUGUGCAUUGAGGUUCUUUUGCUUCAAUGUCGUCUGGUAUAUUUCUGCAUGAGCUAUAGUUCUAGUUAUUCUAACUAUCCCGGUAUUGGAACAUGCUAUUGAUUCAAAUGUCCACCACAUAUUAUAAUUUGUUCUGCUCAUGAAAGUUUGACCAUUUGUGCUUUAUCUUGCAGAUAGAACAAUGAGGGAAGGAUUAUAUGACAGGAUUAGUAGAAUGGUCGGAAGAACCGAUUAGACUCUAAAAGUGGGAAUUGAACACGCUCAUAAUCAUGAUCCUUAUCAUCCUGUCUCCCUUAGCUAGCUUAAACUAGACUUUUGCAUUUUCGUGGUGUCUGCUUAGUUGCUUAUAUCUCUUUAAUCACCUUUUCUAUUUCUAUUCGUGUAUCUUCUAUUUUUGCGCGUCGUUGCAUAGUUCUAUCCCAGUAGGAAACAUCAAAUUUUCAAAGUUGGGGAUGUUUUGAUGUAUUUUCAGAUAAUUUUUCUUAUGAAAAUAUGAGACUUUUAUAGUAUACAUGCUUGAUGAACGCAAAGCUCACUUUUUUCCUUUAUGAAGGAAAAAAGGUUGCUUUUUAAUGGAUAUAUUAAUCAUUGAUUGAGAUUAGAAUAUAACAGUUAAUUUGAUUUUAAAAAUGUUCUCAUGUUAUCACUUGACAAGUCUCUACACAACAGAGUUGUUAAGUGGGACGAGCUGCUCGUCAGCUCUCUCUCCA
rnacentral:lncRNA from 1 species